rnacentral:rRNA from 1 species
CCAAUAGCGUAUAUUAAAGUUGUUGUGGUUAAAAAGCUCGUAGUUGAACCUUGGGCCUGGCUGGCCGGUCCGCCUCACCGCGUGUACUGGUCCGGCCGGGUCUUUCCCUCUGUGGAACCCCAUGCCCUUCACUGGGUGUGGCGGGGAAACAGGACUUUUACUUUGAAAAAAUUAGAGUGCUCCAGGCAGGCCUAUGCUCGAAUACAUUAGCAUGGAAUAAUAGAAUAGGACGUGCGGUUCUAUUUUGUUGGUUUCUAGGACCGCCGUAAUGAUUAAUAGGGACAGUCGGGGGCAUCAGUAUUCAAUUGUCAGAGGUGAAAUUCUUGGAUUUAUUGAAGACUAACUACUGCGAAAGCAUUUGUCAAGGAUGUUUUCAUUAAUCAGGAACGAAAGUUAGGGGAUCGAAGACGAUCAGAUACCGUCGUAGUCUUAACCAUAAACUAUGCCGACUAGGGAUCGGACGAUGUUAUUUUUUGACUCGUUCGGCACCUUACG